AUUGAACGCUGGCGGCAGGCCUAACACAUGCAAGUCGAGCGGGGUUUUCGGACCUAGCGGCGGACGGGUGAGUAAUGCGUAGGAAGCUACCCGAUAGAGGGGGAUACCAGUUGGAAACGACUGUUAAUACCGCAUAAUGUCUACGGACCAAAGUGUGGGACCUUCGGGCCACAUGCUAUCGGAUGCGCCUCCGUGGGAUUAGCUAGUUGGUGAGGUAAUGGCUCACCAAGGCGACGACCUCUAGCUGGUUUGAGAGGAUGAUCAGCCACACUGGAACUGAGACACGGUCCAGACUCCUACGGGAGGCAGCAGUGGGGAAUAUUGGACAAUGGGCGCAAGCCUGAUCCAGCCAUGCCGCGUGUGUGAAGAAGGCCUUCGGGUUGUAAAGCACUUUCAGCGAGGAGGAAGGGUUGUGUGUUAAUAGUACACAGCCUUGACGUUACUCGCAGAAGAGGCACCGGCUACUCUGUGCCAGCCGCCGCGGUAAUAC
rnacentral:rRNA from 1 species